GCAGUUUGUUUACUCUCUGUGGCUCGAUCGGGGCUAGAGGUUCGGUGUCAGUCGCACAGUUCUGAAGAGCAUAAUGCUCUCGUUCAAGAUAAUGGCACUAAUGGCAUCGACAGCAAUUAGUGGUGCGGUCGCAGCAACUCAUUUGAUUCACGCCCAAGGACUGACCGGAAAUGGAUCAAUUGUGAUGUCAAAUAGCAAUUUUGAAGCGAUGGAUUUUAUGGUGAAAAAGUUUUUUCGCGAUCGUGAUCACGUUCUUCUACCUCGUUCAGCUGGUGCGGUUUCUAACGAUUCCGUUGCGUACGCGGUUGGAAGAAACGGAGGAAGUGCGGCGUGUUAAGCGGCUUUCUGCUAUGGUGGUUAGAGCGAUCAUGGCCGCUGGGUAGUGCGUCAUGUGGCUCUCAGUGAAGUUUUGCUGCUUUCAUGAGUCCAAAAUACAGUCGAAAUAUGUGUAACUAAUCAACUUAUCGACUGCCAUAGUAAGUGCCACUAAAAUUGACCCACUACUGAGCCAUUACCGUAUAGCUUUACUCGACUGUUCGAAAUGAAAAAAAAAAAAACUGAAGCAGAAACCUACGGCCGAGCAACCACGGCAACUAUUUAGCCUUGAUGUGUGCAUUACAGCCAUAGGCUGUCGCAAGCUGUGAUGAAACGAUUUGUGUACCCGUAAGCGCGUAAAUAUAAUAUCGAAAAUUUGAUACUGGUCGAUUUACAUAUGAUGCUUCGUUAAGGCUAUCAUUAUUUGUAACAAC